UAGAGUCAGAAUUAGUUUAGUUAGGUGACUCUAAGAUCUCCCCCCCAGCUUGCAUCCUGAUCACGGAAUUUAUUCCGGUAUCAUCUCUUAUUCCUUAUUUCUCCUUGGCUUCUGUCUGCCUGGCUAUCAACUAUUCUAAGGCUUCAGAAACCUUCGAGUCUAUGUUUCAAAAGAGCAAAGAAAGGAUGAGGAAGACUCUGUGGGUGUUUGGAUGUUUUAUUUAGUUCUUGGCCAUGGCUGCUGGAAAGGAAAGGAUCCACACAGCACUUACAAUGCAGUCACAGGCAUAAUCAGAAUGAGGAGGCUUUCAAUACUCCAGGCUGUAUUAACUAAGUUCAAAUGGUCAUUCUCUGCCUCUUAUCUCUUAGCCUCCUUCUCCAUAUCACCAUCUUCAAAGAAAGGAAGCGGCCAGCAAUCUAUUUCCCACAUGGGCAUCAAUUACUACAGUCAGAGACCUUUACAAGGACAAGGUCUCCACGACUACUUCAGACACGGACAUGUGUCCCAUGUUUCCCUUCAAAGGUUGAUGCCUCUUGUGCGUCUCUGACACAAGGCACCAGGUGUGUCCAGUCUGGUAGUUCACAGAGAACUCCACCACAUGUUAUGCCCUCAUAUGUAAUGGAACCCAAAAUUGUUACUGUUCUCUACUGAGGAGGAAGUAUUAUCCACCUCUCAUAGCAGUUACUCUCUCCAUUUGACUGAGGUACUCAUAUGGGCAGUACCUAUCCAUGGAUGAGUUUGCAUUUGGUGUAUCCAAUCUUCAAGAUAGUCUGGUCCUUCUUUGCAUACAAAUUGCACACUGGUGAUCCUCCUGCUUCUGCCUCCUCCAGCAAAUCCUGUGCACCACCUUGAGUUCCAAACAAGAUAAGUGUUGACUUUAGAGUGUAUCCAUGCAGUCUUUGGAUUGUUUGUUUGUUUGUUUG
rnacentral:lncRNA from 1 species